AAAGAAAUAGCACAGUUUGGUAGUGUAGCUGCUUAGGGAGCAGUUGGUCCUAGGUUCAACUCCUAGUUUCUUUA
rnacentral:tRNA from 1 species